GAAUCCUUACUGUGUCUAGUUGAGGAUAAAGGAUUGGAAAAUGAUGAUAAAACUUUCCUAUUAGUGUUGUCAAAGUACUGGUGCCAGAAGACUCGGUAAGGCCAGAAACGCUAACGUUAGUAGUCUUAAUCAGGCGUAAAGGGUUCGUAGACGGCUUUAUAUUUACUAUGAGUUCACUAGUUUUCAAUUAACUUUACUUUAUUUCUCUCGCUCUAGCGCUGAGGAAUAAAAAAAAGGAUAAACUAGCUAUUUACUUCGCGCUCUGCGAAAAAAUAAGAGGUAGUAGUAAAAAAAUAAAGAUAGAAUCUUAUGCGAGGUACCACAACAAAUGCUUUAAGUAAGGAUGAAAUCUAUAAAUUUAAAGUGGAAGACUCAGGGCGAAAGCUAUUUACCUAGUAAAGAUUGACGUUGAGGAACGUAGGUUAGGGCAGAAAAAAGGAUUAGAUACCCAAGUAUUCCUAUCUGUUAACGAUGAAUGGUUAGUUAUUCGGUUUUAAUCAUACAAUUAUACUCUCGUCACUAAUUCUGUUUUAUUUUAUCGUGCGUAAUGCAAAAAAGAAUGUACGAGAAAUAAAAGUAUAUUAAUCAUACUGUGAAGCGUAGCUAACGCGAUUACCAUUCCGCCUUGUGAGUACGACUGCAAAGUUGAAAACAAAAAAAUUAGUCGGUUUCGGAGCAAACGAAGUGA
rnacentral:rRNA from 1 species